UACGUAUGGUGCAAGCGUUAUCCGGAUUUACUGGGCGUAAAGGGAGCGCAGGCGGCGCGCCAAGUCUGAUGUGAAACCCCGGGGCUCAACCCCGGGCAUGCAUUGGAAACUGGCGGGCUGGAGUGCCGGAGAGGUAAGCGGAAUUCCUAGUGUAGCGGUGAAAUGCGUAGAUAUUAGGAGGAACACCAGUGGCGAAGGCGGCUUACUGGACGGCAACUGACGCUGAGGCUCGAAAGCGUGGGGGGCAAACAGG
rnacentral:rRNA from 1 species